rnacentral:rRNA from 1 species
AUGGGAGACUUUAAUGAGAUAUUGAGCAAUGAGGAGAAGAGGGGAGGAGUUGAUCGGGUGAAGGGGUGCAUGAACUUAUUCCGGGAGGUGUUAGAAGGGUGCAGGCUUAGUGAUCUGGGCUAUGAAGGAGACAUAUUCACAUGGUGGAAAGGCUAUAUUUGUGGCCGGCUGGAUAGGGCGGCUGCCAAUAUGGAAUGGUGUUCGGCGUUCCCGGAGUUUCGUGUGCGAAAUGAGCUACCAAGGCAUUCGGAUCACCGGCCCAUAGUGGUGGAUAUUGUUGACAUGGGAAGUAGCGAAAGGGAAGGAAGUGGGGCUUUCAGGUUUGAAGCUCGAUGGUUGAGAGGAUGGCUGCGACCUGGUAAUUGA